rnacentral:rRNA from 1 species
UACAGAGGUCCCAAGCGUUGUUCGGAUUCACUGGGCGUAAAGGGUGCGUAGGCGGUCGGGUAAGUCUGAUGUGAAAUCUCACAGCUUAACUGUGAAACUGCAUUGGAUACUAUCCGGCUUGAGAGUUGGAGGGGGGACUGGAAUUCUUGGUGUAGCAGUGAAAUGCGUAGAUAUCAAGAGGAACACCAGUGGCGAAGGCGAGUCCCUGGACAACUUCUGACGCUGAGGCACGAAAGCUAGGGGAGCAAACAGG